rnacentral:rRNA from 1 species
UAGCAAUACAGUGGAAAGUUCAGUGGCGAACGGGUGCGUAACACGUGGGCAAUCUGCCUUAAAGUGUGGGAUAGCUCGGCGAAAGCCGAAUUAAUACCGCAUGUGGCUACUGGAGACAUCUUCGGGACGCUAAAGGUGGCGCAAGCUACCGCUUUUUGAGGAGCCCGCGGCCUAUCAGCUUGUUGGUGGGGUAACGGCUCACCAAGGCGUUGACGGGUAGCUGGUCUGAGAGGACGACCAGCCACACUGGGACUGAGACACGGCCCAGACACCUACGGGUGGCAGCAGUCGAGAAUUUUUGACAAUGGGGGAAACCCUGAUCGAGCGACGCCGCGUGGAGGAUGAAGGUCUUCGGGUUGUAAACUCCUGUCAUUUGGGAACAAGGCGUAUGUAUUAACUGUACGUGCGUUGAUAGUACCAGAAGAGGAAGAGACGGCUAACUCUGUGCCAGCAGCCGCGGUAAUACAGAGGUCUCAAGCGUUGUUCGGAUUCAUUGGGCGUAAAGGGUGUGUAGGUGGCGCGCUAAGUCGGGUGUGAAAUUUCGGAGCUUAACUCCGAAACUGCAUUCGAUACUGGCGUGCUUGAGGACUGGAGAGGAGACUGGAAUUCACGGUGUAGCA